CUUUCGUUUGCCCCCUCUCCCGUGGUCUCCCGUGCCUCGUAGCGCCGCCGCCACGUGCUCCACCCCGCCGUCGUCGCCGGCCGAGCUCCAUCCGCGUCGCGCCGCCGCCUCCGUCGUCGCCGCCGGUCGCUGUCACCGCCGUAAGGUGCGCCGAGGUGUGGAGAAGCCCGGCCGCCUGACCCCCGAAGCCGCAGGUCACCGGAGCCCCGUCACCGCCGUCGACCGAAGCCGCGCCGCCAACAGACCUCGUCGCCGGCCGUCGUCGUUCGUCGUUUUGUUCGAGGGUGAGUACCGUUGGGUUCGUCUCGUCGUCCUCUACGUGUUCAUGUCCUCCAAAGUCGCAGCCGACCAUCCAAUCUCCGGCGAGGUCGCCAUCUUGGUCCGGCCAUUGAUGAGGUCAUCAUGACGUCAUCAUCGUUUUUCUUUUUCCUGUUUUUCUAAUAGAUUAAAUCUUCGAAAAUUCAUAACUAAAUCAUCGUAACUCGGUUUUGAGUGGUUCAAGUUGCUAAAUUCAUCUAAAAUCAUGAUCUACAUGUUUGUUUACUUUAUAUGUACUGUUUAUUUGGUUUUUAUUAGUCUUUUUCUUCGUUUUGCGUGUUAGCUUGUCGUUUCCGUCGUUGCGAAGGUUCGUGAGUGCGUCAGGAGUGUUCAGAAGAUUAAUUGAAGACCGAUUAUUGCAAGGCAAGUCACACAGAUCCUAAACACAAUCCUUUGAGCAUGUUGAUCCUAUAUUUAAAUUCUCUAUUUAUUUCAACUGUGCAUUUAUUUUCGAAUGUCACCGGGUGGUGUGAACUUAUUCCUUUGUUAUGGCCAAUUUGCAUUGAUUACUUUAUUCCUUGAUACCUUGGGUUAUUAUAACUUGACUAGUUGGGCUUUAUAUAUUGGUUCAGCUAGAUAUUAGUUAUGAUUGCUUAGCCAUGCUUAGAAACAUUAGCACACUAUUGGGAUAACUUAUGACUCACUAUUAUUUAAGGAUGGCUUAAUGAUAGUUCACGAUGGUUAAUCGUGAUUGGUUAAUUAAUUACUUGCCAACUAAAACUUGAUAAUGGUGGGUUGUGAGCACAUGGUUUUGAGAGUCGUGCUCAUGACAAUUAAGGACCGGUUCGCGAGCUACUGUUGUGAAACAUUUAUCGUGCCAACCACAAGCCAGCGUGGGCAACGGCUUUAUCUUUUGUGUAGCGUGAUUCAUUAUAGUGCGCCAGACUGAGAAGUGGCGAGAAGUCCACGGGGGUCGCUGGGGAGUCCAUGCCUUGUUUAUAAGGGGGUGAUUAUGAUCCAGGAAAGGUGCGCUGUAAUGGGUUAUGUUGUGCAAGGGGUAUUGUCACAACUCCUUUCCGAGGUACCGUGGUGGUAUUGAGGCACAUGGUGACAUGAUGUGGGGUUGUGUCUUGUGGGUACAGUGGUACAUCUCUGGCCAGAGUAAAACUAUUCGAAUAGCCGUGCCCGCGGUUAUGGGCGGGUUGAGCAAUGUUUUUCGUGAUUAGUCUCACACCUCUCACAAUAAUUAUGGAUGUUAUACCUGGUAAUAAUUUGCUUAGCUCCUGGUUUGGAGUUAGAUCUGUACAGCCGGGUAUGGUUGUUCAGGAUGGUUGGGCCUGUGCAGCAUGAGUGUGCUGUUCAGUGUUGAUUAAAAUUUUUAAUUAAUUACUCUACUGUUUUACUACUCUUAACUCUUUGCUAAAUGCUGCUUUCGCAAAUGAGCCUAUAUUAUGCCAUCCUUUGGUAUCCUUGUGCACUUGCAUAUUUGCUGUGUGGCUUGUUGAGUAUGUCAUAUGCUCAUUCUUGCAAUAAUCAAUCAAACCUCAGUUGAAGAUAAAGGAUCCAGAAGGAGAAGACGUUUGGCUUAUACCCCAGUUGAGCUGCCUGUGGGAGUGGAGCUGAAGCCAUCGCUAGACCGUUAAUUCCGCCGCUGUUUUCUUUUCUUUGUAAGUAUGUAACGUUAUUAUUAAGAUGGAUUUGUAUAUUAAAAUUGUCAGUUUGUGUACCUCGGCUGAUUCCUGGACGAGGAUUUUAUGCACAAAUAAGUUCGGAAAUUACUAGUGAAUUUCCGGGCGUGACAGUGGAGGUGGGUUGCCCUGAUGGUUGUGGUUGCUGCCUUCAGGUUGGUUGCCAUCACCGGUGGCAGCAUUUCUCCUGGUCGUCACCAUCUGAAAACCCCACACAGAACCAACAAACAGAGAGAGCUGACAAUUAAAGCUAACCACCCACGACUACCAUAAUUCUUAAAUUUAUUACUGCUAUUAAAUUGGUUCAUUAAGGUUCAAGUUGCUUAGGCGAAUAAAUAAAGACAGGCUCCGACACAGUUACACCACACACCAGCAUAACUGUGCCCUACACAACCCAACAAGAAGACAAACGAGAAAGAACACACGCGCAAGCCUACUAACUGCUCGUCUACUGCUGCGACGGGCCAGGACGGAAGGUGAGCAACAGCGCAUCCUCCGUGCUACCAACGCCGGAGGCUUCCCCCUCCUGGGGAACCACGGGCGCAGGCUCGGCACGAGGGGCCUCCACGAAGCAAGUCCACGCCAGGGACUGACGAACAAGCUCGGGCCUGGAGGUGCUCUUGCGGGCAGUGAUCUUCAGACUGCGGCAGACACGGCGGCGCUUGGGGCGGCAGAUCUCUCCCUGGGCGAUCUUGAGCUGAUGCAGCUGCGCCUCCACUGCGUCCAGGUCCUUCUUGAGCUGCAGGUUCUCUUGACGCAGCUCCAGGAUCUUCAGGUUGUUCUCGACCAUCCCACGGCGCACCAUCUGAUGGAAGUCGAUACGAGCCGCGUCGUACGCCUCCACCAUACGCGCCAAGUGCACGAUGGUAGCGUCAUCCUCCGAGCUAGCAUCCCGGAAGGUGGCGUGGUCGCGGGCUCCUCCGCGACGAGGGUGGUAGCGGUAGGGCGAGUGCUGCAACUCGUCCGGGUAGCGCUGGUGAAGAGUGCCGAUGGCGAGGAGAGCGGCGCUCUGGCAAGCGGCGGGGAAGGAGUCUCCACCAGCGGUGACUGUCAGCGAAGUCCGCUCGGGAGAGCCAGCGAGGAUCACUGCAGUGACCUCCCAAGCAGCGUGGGGCUCCGCAUCGUCACCCUCCUGCUCCGGAAGCGGCCUGGCCUGGUAGUCCACUCCGUGUGGAUACCCCAGGGCCACGCACAUGCCCCGCAGCUCCAAGAAGAAACCAGUCAUGUCCAAACCACGACGGGUGACGCUGCCGGCCAUCUACAAACAAAAACAAAAAGAAAAGCAACAUUUUAAAGGUCAGAUUUUGGCGAUAAAUGAAGCAGCAAGACAGAGAGAGACUAGAGGAUUUUCACAAAUACAAAGGAUUUUUAUUUCGAAAAUAUUGCUAAGGCUUGGGAUCUACGGCUCGUCCUAGGGUCAAGGGGGCUCUGAUACCAACUUGUCACGACCGGAAAUAACCCAACGGGCAUUCCUUACGUGCGUGCAUUAAUCCUUGUCCCAGGAGGCAAGGUACACCAAAAGUUGAUACAAUUCAGAGUUUAACAAGCGGAAGCGUAAUUAGAUAACUUAUUACAUGGGCAACGAAGGCCCAGCACACACAGAGACAAACGAGAAACAGCGGAAGACUAGGGCGACGACCACAGGCGCUUGACGGCAGGCACGAGCUAGACACCGAAGCCUUCAUCCUCCUGGAACUCCUCUUCUGGGGUUGGGAAAAAUUGAGCAAGACUGAGUACAACCACCGUACUCAACAAGACACACCCACAAGUGCAGAAUAAAUGCAAGGGAGUACAAAGGAGUUAUACUGUAAAGGGGUUAGGGUUGCAGUAAACAGCAUUUAAAGAUAUUUAGUUGCUCAGGGCUAUUUUGUAAACACGAUUCUAGAACUAAACAAUAUUAUUUAUCAAGGCCGUGAACCCACACGAACCUGCCUUAACCCAAGGCCUACGAUGAUUCAGACCGAACUGGCAACCCGACCCUGGGUCCCAGCUCGUCCCAAGCCAACCCAGGCCAACCAUUCCACAUUUUAGUUGUUAAGCAGGUUUUAAGAAUUAAAACACUAACUUGGGUACAUUGCUCGGCUUGCCCAUAACCGAGGGCGCGGCUAUUCGAAUAGAUUUUACUCUGAUCAGAGGUGUACAUCUUUACCCACAAGACACAUCUCCCUCACGUGUAACCACGUGCCACAUACCACCACGGUAUACAGACGGAAGACGUGACAUAGUUUCCAACCCAUCCUAGCCAUAGACAAGAGUACCGACCCAAUCCCGCCUACGGCCGGAACCCCCGGGACAGGCAGGCAGGACUGAGCCCCUAGCAGCAGGACACCGGCCCUGUGCCAUGACAUCUCGACUACCGGGCCGCAGCUCGUGUAGCCUUCAUUUGCCCUGGAGAAUGUCCAUCGACCCCCGACUUCAUCCACCUCCAUCCGUGUACUUUUGUUUAUAACUAGACUGAGCCACAAACUAAGCCUUACCCACUAGACAUGUGGAAGUACGGUAGUGCUUUGCAACAGAGGCCCGAAGACCGGUCCUUAUAUGGCCGAGGUGCUACUAUCAAAACCAUUUUUGGGGAUUUUGAAUAGAGGGGGCGGUGUGAAUCCAAUUCCACAAUACUCCAACAACUCCACAGUGUCCAGGUGAUAUGAACAUUCCCAAAGUCUAGAGUUGUAAAACCGCCUAAUGUUACCUAAUUAAAAGCGAAGCAUCUACCUAUAAUCGUACUAGUGGUACCAUGAGUAGAGUGCCCACUAGUUGGGGUUUUGUUUAUUCUAGGGUGAACAAGGUAAUAAUAACAAUAACAAUAAUAAGGUCAUAACAAAGGUAAAUAGGCAUGGCUAAAUAAAACAGUGAUAACGCGGGAAUUUAAAUAAAGCGAUAAUGCAAUAAUUUAAAUCAACAUAAUUUUACAAACUGGGAUUCAAUAUGUUCAAAGAUGAUGUGACUUGCCUUGCUUGCUUUCCCAAACACCGGCUUCAACUUCCACGAAGAGCGGAUCUUCCGAAGCUGCAGCGUCUACACGACCAACGGAAAAGAAAAGGCUUUUACUCUACUAAACUCCAUAUAACCAGCAGAAACAAAGCACAAAAAUGGGUUCUUGACUUCUUAAGGAAAAAUUAGAGACUUGAACGGUCCAAUUCCGAGUUCAAAUGGCCAAGUUAUGGCCAUUUGAAGUUUAUAUGCUCUUUAAAUGAAUAUUUGCGAAUUUCUUCAUUUAAAUUUUUAAUUUAAAAUCGGAUUUAUUGCGUCAGCCGAGGGGAGGGGCGCGUGGACCGGGUCCACGGGAGUGGGGCCCACGCGGCAGCCUCACGGUCCACGGUGGACCGGGUGCACGCGGCUUGCGCCGGCCGGCGCCGUGGGUCCCACGCGUCAGCCGCACCCGAGGGCGCGGGCGGCUGACGGCCGGGCCCCACAUGGCAGCCGCGGGGCGCGCCCGAAGGCGGCCUCGCCGGCACGGCCGACGGGAGGCGGCGCGCCCGCGCCCCGAUGGUCGCCGGCGGCGACCUCCAGCGCGACGGAGCGGCGCCCGAGAGAGGGGAGGGAAGGGGGAAGCGAAAUGGCGGUCCUCGGCUCACCCCGGGUCGACGGCGACGACGGGAACGGCGACCGAAGCGGAGAGAGGCGGCGGCGCGGCUCGGGUCGACGAGGACGGCGGUGCUCCGGCGGUCGGCGGGCGAAACGGAGGAGUGGACAAGGUCGGCGAGAACGCGGCGAAGCCGAAGGAGGCGAUGCCGAAGCGGGAGGAGGUCCGGGGCGACGACGGCGGCGGACCGAAGCUUGGCGGCGAUGGCGGAGAGAGAGGACGACGGCGCGAGCUCGAUUCCGACGGGGAGAGCGAGCGGCGAACGGCGGAAACGGAGGAGGGAGGCACGGGGAGUGCUUAAAUAGGGUUGGGAGUGAGAGAGGGCGGCCGGAGGGGAAGGAAAUCGGCGCGGCGAUCUCGGGCUCCAUUGAUGCGCCGGCGAAGAUUGCGGGAGGGAUUCCAAACGAAUCCAAGGGAGAGAGAGAGAGAAAAGAGGGGGGAAAGAGGGAGGGAAUCACGGGGAGUGAUUUCCCCCUCUUUAUGGCGAGCGGGGACGGCGGGAAGCGGCGGAUUCGGCGGCGGCGGCGGCGCUAGGGCACGGGCGGGCGGCGGGAGCGGCGGAAGGUAGGGGAUGACGGGUGGGCCCCACCCGUCAGCGAGGAUGGUGGGCGGGCCCGCCCGUCAGCGGCGCGCGCGCGGGGGAGAGGAGAGAGAGGGAGGGAGCUGGGUCGAGCCGGCCCAAGAAGGGAAGGGGGGAAAGAAGACUUUUAGGGAUUUUUCUUUUUAUAAAACCAUUUUAACUUUGUUUAUUUCUUCUCAAUUAUUAUUUGUGCUCUGAAAAUUCCACUAAAAUUUAUUUACGCAUUUUAGGCUUUUAGGAAAUAUACAAAAAUCCUCCAAGCCUUAUUUGACUUUUAGCUUUGCACAUUUUAAUUGUUGGAGGCUUUCACAUGGAUUUUACUUAUUCUAUGCACAAUUUCGAGGAUGUAUUUUAGAGUCGAUUUGGGACGCGACAAGCUCUCCUCUACCCGUCGCCACCCUCGCCUUCGCCUCUCGUCGUCCGUAGAGCUCUAGCGCCAUGUAGCCUUGAGCCGCCGUCGCUCCAGCCGUGCGCCACCGCCGUUCCAGUCGUCGCCGUCGCUCGGGAAGGUCGCCUUCGUGGUCGCCAAGUCACAGCCGUCCUCGUCCGCCACUUCGCCACCGCCGGAGACCGCCGGAGCAUCGUCGCCGUCAUCAAGCCGAAGACCGCCGCCGUUUCUUCCUCGUCGCCGUCGCCGUCCGUUGCUCCUCCGCCGCUUCUUUGGUCGCCGGUGAGUUUGCCGCGUCGCCCUCUACCCGUUGGUGCCCUCCGUUCGUGCCGAAGCGCCGCCGUUCGCCGGCAAGCGUGCGCCGUCCGAGCCGUCCGAGCCGCCGAGCCGCCGCCGCCGGUGGUGACGUCAUCGCUGGCGUCAUCGUCCCCGUCUCCCGUGAGCUGGUCGUGGACCGAUCGAUCUCGGCCGUCCGUUUUGGAUGGAUCGAUCUCGGCCCUCCGUUCCCGUGAACCGUCGCUGUGCGCCCGGUCCACCGCAAACCCUAGCCGCUGACGCAAUAAUUCCCUUUUUCCUUUUCAAAAAUAAUUCAUUAUUGCGUCAUAAUUCAAUUAAAAUCCAUAUAAGUGUUUCAAUCCGAUUAAAUCUUCAAAAAUUCAUAACUAAUUCAUCUUAGCUCGGAUUUAGUUGGUUCAAGUCUCUAAAUUUUUCUAAAAUUGAGGUCUACAUGUUAAAAAUAUCCACAUAUACUGUUCAUGCUUGUUUAUGUGCUGUUUUGGUGAUUUUGCUUCUUUCUGCUUAGAUUCCAUCGUUUCCGGAGAGUCCGUUUUCGCAGCAGAAGAGUUUGAAGAGUUCCAAGGCCAGCAAGGCAGGUCACACAGAUCCCAAACAACCCUUUAAGCAUGUUGAUCCUAUUUAAAGCUAUUGUUUCUAUUCAACUAUUGCAUCUAUUUUCGAAUGUCAUUGGGUGGAAUUAACCUAUUGUUUGC
rnacentral:lncRNA from 1 species